GAAGGGUAUUUAAUAAAAAAAAUUGUUAAUGGGCGUUAAUGGGUGACUUAUUAGACUAAUGAGUUGGGUUUGUGUGACCAGUUAGCUUAACGGGUUGGAUUUGGAUGAUCCAUUAAAUUAACGGGUUGGGUUGAACCCGAUCCAAACCCAGUAAACGCGACCCGUUUACAAGUCUAGUGACACGAGUACCACUCCGUGUACCAGUCACACUGAAAAAUCUGUCAUCUUUUCACCAUUUAGCCGUCUACCCCUUUCAGUUUCAAUGUUUCAGCUUCGCAGCUGAGCAAAAUUUCAAUUGGGUCUCAGACAAAGAACAAAAAUUUCAAUUGGGUUUGUCCCUUUCCCUAUCUUCAAUUACCAAUUGGGGUUUUGAUCGACCUUGGCAGCACUGCAAGAGUGGUCUGUACCUGAAGAUGUUCUCCGGACAUUUUUAAGUGUGGGAAACUCAUCUACCCUCGUAAAUUCGUUGGAAAAUUUAAUACAAGUUUGUAGAACUGCGGAUGGUCGUGCAGGCCUUGCGUCUAAGGAUAUUCUUCCCUCUGUCAUCCAGCUCGUACAAUCUCUCCCUUACCCUUCUGGUUGCCAUCUUCUCACAUUAUGUUUAAAGCUCCUAAGAAAUCUAUGUGCGGGAGAGAUUGCAAAUCAGGACUCAUUUAUUGAACGAAAUGGAGUGGCAAUCAUAUUGAAUGUUUUGAACUCCGCAAGUCUUUCUUCGGAGCCAGAUACUGGGAUCGUUCAGAUGGUUGCAAGUUCUCGCUAAUGUUUCAUGGCUGGACAACGGCAUCGGUGUGCAAUUUGGCAGCGACUUUUUCCGAAAGAAUUUGUUGCUAUAGUAAGAGUUCAGAGCCGGGAAACUAGUGAUCCCUUGUGCAUGGUUAUCUAUGCUUGUUGUAAUGGAAGCCCUGAACUGUUGGCCCAACUUUGUGGUGAUCGUGGGAUAACUAUCCUGAAAAAGAUUGUAAAGACUACGGCUGCAGGUAACUUUGUACAUUCAUUUGAUACCAUCCGCCUUAGCUUCAGUUGUGUUCCUUUGCUGAAACCUAAUAUUAAUGAAACAAACCCUAAUCUGUGCCUUGUUUUAACCUUUCGGGUUGGUUUCGGAGAAGAUUGGUACAAGUUGAUUCUUUCAAGAACCUGCUUAGAAUGACCUUACUUCCAGUCACUUUUCUCAAAUUUAGGAUUUUUUGGUGCUACUGAGAAUGGCGAAGACACUGAAUUUAGAGAAGACGUUUUCUCAACUGAGCAAGCAUUUUUCUUGAGAAACAUAUCUGACAUCUUGAAUGAGCGGCUUCAAGAGAUUACUGUGCCUAGUGAUUUUGUACUGUGUGUCUUUGGGAUAUUUAAGAAAUCUGUUGGGAUUCUUAAUUAUGCUGCAAAAGGCAAGUCUGGACUUCCAACAUGUUCUAUUAUGAUGUUCUAGGAUUCUCACUCACAAUCCUGAGAGAUGUAUGUGCUCAGAAGUUCGUAAGAGGCUCUAAUGAGGACCUGGGGGAUGCUGUUGAUGUUUUGCUAUCCCAUGGCCUCAUAGAAUUUCUUUUAUGUUUGAUUCGUGAUCUUGAGCCGACAUCAGUAAUGAGGAAAGCUAUCAAGCAAGGUGAGGACCAAGAUGGACCAAAGCCUUCUUCCUUAAAACCCUGCCCUUAUAAAGGAUUUCGGAGAGACAUAGUGGCAGUCAUUGGCAAUUGCACAUAUAAAAGGAAGCUUGUACAAGAUGAGAUUAGACAAAAGGAUGGGAUUCUUUUGCUCUUGCAAUAGUGUGGCCUUGAUGACGACAAUCCGUACUUAAGGGAGUGGGGCAUUUGGUGCGUGAGGAACUUAUUCGAAGGCAACGAAGAAAACGAAAGGGUAGUGGCUGAAUUGGAGAUUCAAAGGGCUGUUGAUACACCAGAAAUUGCUCAAUUUGGUCUUCGAGUAGAGGUGAAUCCAGAAACUAGACGGCCAAAGCUUGUUAACAUCCCAUGAAGAAGGUAGUUAAAUCUGACGCUGAUUAGUGAUCAAGAAGCUGGUUAGAUUCGAUUAGAUGAAUCCAGAAAUGCGUGAUUUUCGCAUUAUAAAUUUUUUCUUUGAGCUCAGGUGUUUUGCACGGUUGUUUGUAUUCGAUCUGGUUAGUAAGCAAAAUUUCAGAGUAGUGCAAACAACAUGAAAGGAUGGAUUGUAUUGUAUUGAAUUGACUUCCGAGUUUCUUGCAAUUUUAAUCCUCUGUCUCCUUGUCCGUCAA